GAAAAUGAUGAAUUCUGGGGCGCUGAUU
rnacentral:piRNA from 3 species